rnacentral:rRNA from 1 species
AUUGAACGCUGGCGGCAGGCCUAACACAUGCAAGUCGAGCGGAUGAAGGGAGCUUGCUCCUGGAUUCAGCGGCGGACGGGUGAGUAAUGCCUAGGAAUCUGCCUGGUAGUGGGGGAUAACGUCCGGAAACGGGCGCUAAUACCGCAUACGUCCUGAGGGAGAAAGUGGGGGAUCUUCGGACCUCACGCUAUCAGAUGAGCCUAGGUCGGAUUAGCUAGUUGGUGGGGUAAAGGCCUACCAAGGCGACGAUCCGUAACUGGUCUGAGAGGAUGACCAGUCACACUGGAACUGAGACACGGUCCAGACUCCUACGGGAGGCAGCAGUGGGGAAUAUUGGACAAUGGGCGAAAGCCUGAUCCAGCCAUGCCGCGUGUGUGAAGAAGGUCUUCGGAUUGUAAAGCACUUUAAGUUGGGAGGAAGGGCAGUAAGUUAAUACCUUGCUGUUUCGACGUUACCAACAGAAUAAGCACCGGCUAACUUCGUG